CUAAACGUUUUCUGCGCGACCUCGUCUGUCCUAACAGCCUAGCAAGGCAGGUGGGGAUGGAGUGGGGUUCCUCAGAGGCAAGGACCGAUGGCUCCUCCACACAGUUGGAUGCCUGGUGACUGGGCUGUGCACUUCACAUCCCGCCAGCGUGAGAGACGGAUCCGGUUUCUCCGCAUUUGCUGUUGUCACCGAUUUUUACUUCAGCCGUUCUGAUAGUUACACCGGAGCAGACUCUGCAUCUCCAGAACACCCCGGGACAGCUCCAGGCCUCCUUGGCCAGCGGAUCUCUUGGAGUCAUCUCGGAACCGCUGCUCCUGCUCCUUGGCCAAAGAAGUGAAUGCAGGGGCAUGAGCCCCCUGCCCUGGCUUCUGUUUGUCCCCCCCUCCCGGAGCCCUUAGUGGAGAGCACACAGAGCAGCGGGAAUGGGGUUCUGCCGACUCCCAGGCCCAGAUUGGUCCCUGGCCGUGGGCCUCCGACGUGCCGCUGAGCCUGGAGGACAGCAGGUGCAGGUGACCCCGAAUCACUAGGAGUGACGAGGCCCAGUUUGGACCCUACAGCCCCAGGCCUGGCGCACUCAGUGCUCCGAGCUGCCUCAGCCUUCACGAUGUGUGGCAGGGGUUCGCUGAGCUCCAAGGGGGCAAGCCAGAGGGUGCCAGGGGGUCCCAGCGUUCAACUCCCCACCUCCCACCACAGCGGGCAGGCUCCCUUACAGUUCUGGUGGGAAUAUUUUUCAUUAUCUUCCCUCUCAAUUUAAUUAAUCCACAUUCAGUAAUGAACCUUGAAAUUUCAA